AUUGAACGCUGGCGGCAUGCCUUUCACAUGCAAGUCGAACGGCAGCGGACCUUCGGGUGCCGGCGAGUGGCGAACGGGUGAGUAAAGUAUCGGAACGUACCUUUCAGUGGGGGAUAACGUGGCGAAAGUUACGCUAAUACCGCAUAUUCUGUGAGCAGGAAAGCAGGGGAUCGCAAGACCUUGCGCUGAUUGAGCGGCCUAUCAGCUUGUUGGUGGGGUAACGGCCUACCAAGGCGACGACGGGUAGCUGGUCUGAGAGGACGAUCAGCCACACUGGGACUGAGACACGGCCCAGACUCCUACGGGAGGCAGCAGUGGGGAAUCUUGCGCAAUGGGCGAAAGCCUGACGCAGCAACGCCGCGUGGGGGAUGAAUGCCUUCGGGUUGUAAACCCCUUUCAGCAGGAACGAAAAUGACGGUACCUGCAGAAGAAGGUCCGGCCAACUACGUGCCAGCCGCCGCAGUAAGAC
rnacentral:rRNA from 1 species